rnacentral:rRNA from 1 species
AUUGAACGCUGGCGGCAGGCCUAACACAUGCAAGUCGAGCGAGCGGCGGACGGGUGAGUAAUAUAUGGGAAACUGCCUGCUGGCGGGGGAUAACUACUGGAAACGGUAGCUCAUACCGCAUACCCUCAGAUGUGCCCAGAUGGGAUUAUCUCGUGGGUGGGGUAACGGCUCACCUAGGCGCCGAUCCCUAGCUGGUUUGAGAGGAUGAAACGCCACACUGGAACUGAGACACGGCCCAGACUCCUACGGGAGGCAGCAUUGGGGAAUAUUGCACAAUGGGCGAAAGCCUGAUGCAGCCAUGCCGCGUGUGUGAAGAAGGCCUUCGGGUUGUAAAGCACUUUCAGCGGGGAGGCGUUACCCGCAGAAGAAGCACCGGCUAACUCCGUGCCAGCCGCCGCGGUAAUAC